GAUGAACGCUGGCGGCGUGCCUAAUACAUGCGAGUCGAGCGAACAGACGAGGAGCUUGCUCCUCUGACGUUAGCGGCGGACGGGUGAGUAACACGUGGAUAACCUACCUAUAAGACUGGGAUAACUUCGGGAAACCGGAGCUAAUACCGGAUAAUAUAUUGAACCGCAUGGUUCAAUAGUGAAAGACGGUUUUGCUGUCACUUAUAGAUGGAUCCGCGCCGCAGUAGCUAGUUGGUAAGGUAACGGCUUACCAAGGCGACGAUGCGUAGCCGACCUGAGAGGGUGAUCGGCCACACUGGAACUGAGACACGGUCCAGACUCCUACGGGAGGCAGCAGUAGGGAAUCUUCCGCAAUGGGCGAAAGCCUGACGGAGCAACGCCGCGUGAGUGAUGAAGGUCUUCGGAUCGUAAAACUCUGUUAUUAGGGAAGAACAAAUGUGUAAGUAACUAUGCACGUCUUGACGGUACCUAAUCAGAAAGCCACGGCUAACUACGUG
rnacentral:rRNA from 1 species